UCAAGCGAAAAAGAGGUUUAUGGCGGAUGCCUGGGAGCUGCGAGGCGAAGAAGGUCGUGACAAGCUGCGAAAAGCCGGGGGGAGGAGCACAUAUCCUGCGAUCCCCGGAUUACCGAAUGGGGUAACCCGCAUGAAGCGAUUCAUGAACCGCGCGGAUGAAUCAAAUAGUCCGGCGGAGCCAAACUGAGUGAAGUGAACCAUCUAAGUAACUCGGGAAAAGAAAUCAAAAUGAGAUUCCCGGAGUAGCGGCGAGCGAAACGGGAGGAGCCCAAACCACAUAGAGUGGGGUUGUAGGGCCGCACGGGGAUGACCCGGGAAGUUGAGAGAAAACCGUAAUAUAGCAGAAAGGUCUGGGAAGGCCUGUCAGAGAGCGUGAGAGCCGCGUAAGCGAAAUAUUGCGGACUUCCUGGUGCGGUACCUGAGUAGGGCGGGGCACGUGGAACCCUGCCUGAAUCCGGGUCGACCACGAUCCAAGGCUGAAUACUCCGCAGCUACCGAUAGCGGACAAGUACCGUGAGGGAAAGGCGAAAAGAACCCCUGCGAGGGGAGUGAAACAGAACCUGAAACCAUAAACCGACAAGAUGUUGCAGCCCUGUAAGGGGUGGCAGCGUGCCUUUUGUAGAAUGAGCCUGCGAGUUGCGUUAUGCAGCGAGGUUAAGCAUUUGGAGAUGCGGAGCCGGAGCGAAAGCGAGUGUGAACAGCGCGAAUAAGUUGCAUGACGCAGACCCGAAGCCAAGGUGAUCUAGUUAUGGGCAGGCUGAAGCUCAGGUAAAACUGAGUGGAGGGCCGAACAGUAAUCUGUUAAAAAAGGUAGUGAUGACCUGUGACUAGGAGUGAAAGGCUAAACAAACCUGGAAAUAGCUGGCUCUCCCCGAAAUGCCUUUAGGGACAGCCUCAUACGGAUAUUGGCGGAGGUAAAGCACUGGAUGGACUAGGGGGCGUCACUGCCUACCAAACCCAAUCAAACUCUGAAUGCCGUCAAUCAAUAUAUGGGAGUGAGACUGCGUGCGACAAGGUUCGUAGUCGAGAGGGAAACAGCCCGGACCGUCGACUAAGGUCCCGAAAUACCGCUGAGUGUGAAAUGAAGUGUAAAUGCAAAGACAGCCAGGAGGUUGGCUCAGAAGCAGCCAUUCCUUGAAAGAGUGCGUAACAGCUCACUGGUCGAGCAUUUAUGCACAGAUAAUGUAACGGGGCUAAGCGGUAUACCGAAGUUGCGGAUCUGACAUGUAAGUGUCAGGUGGUAGGGGAGCAUUCCUUGGGCCGGAGAAGGUGUGAUGCGAGUCAUGCUGGAGGCAGAGGAAGAGAGAAUGCAGGUAUAAGUAACGAAAAGACGGGUGGGAUUCCCGUCCGCCGAAAACCUAAGGUUUCCUGAGUAAAGGCAAUCUGCUCAGGGUAAGUCGGCCCCUAAGACGAGGGCGAAAGCCGUAGCCGAUGGGAAUCCGGUUCAUAAUCCGGAACCUGGAACAGUUUCGAAGGCAGGACGCAUGAGGUGAAAUCCGGCCGGGCGACGGUUGUCCCGGUCGAAGCAGUGAGGUGAAGAGAGGAUGGAUAAAAGAAUCCUUGAGCUGAGCUGUGACAGCGAGCGGAGAGAAAGUUGAAGCGAAGCGGAUGUAAUCAGGGUGCCGGGAAACACUGUCUAAGGUCAGGCUGUUUCGGACCGUACCGCAAACCGACACAGGUAGGAAGGAUGAGUAAUCUAAGGCGCACGAGAGAACUCGCGUUAAGGAACUCGGCAAAAUGCACACGUAACUUCGGAAGAAGUGUGGCCGCGAUUGGUAAUAAGAUAUGCGGUGGCACAGAGCAGGCCCAGGCGACUGUUUAUCAAAAACACAGCCAUCUGCGAACCAGCAAUGGGACGUAUAGGUGGUGACACCUGCCCGGUGCCGGAAGGUUAAGAGGAGAGGUCAGCCGCAAGGUGAAGCUUUGAAUCGAAGCCCCGGUAAACGGCGGCCGUAACUAUAACGGUAAAUUCCUUGUCGGGUAAGUUCCGACCCGCACGAAUGGUGUAACGAUUCUGGGCACUGUCUCGACGCGAGACUCGGUGAAAUUUAUAUACCGGUAAAGAAGCCGGUUAAUUACAGUUAGACGGAAAGACCCCGUGAACCUUCACCGUAACUUACCGUUGGGUCUUGGUUUAUAAUGUGUAGAAUAGGCGGGAGACAGCGAGGCGUGGCCGUCAGGCUGCGCGGAGUCGUAAAGUGAAAUACCGCCCUUUAUGAACUAGGAUUCUAACCCGUGCCAUGAAGCUGGUGCGGGGACAACGGUAGGCAGGCGGUUUGACUGGGGCGGUCGCCUCCUAAAGAGUAACGGAGGUGCGCGAAGGUCUCCUCGCGCCGGUUGGAAAUCGGCGUACGAGUGUAAAGGCACAAGGAGGCUUGACUGCGAGACUGACAGGUCGAGCAGGUACGA
rnacentral:rRNA from 1 species